GGUGCCGAAAAUGCAGCAGGCAAAAAGUGUGGCAAUACGACACUAUUGUUGACAAAAGAAUGACAGGGGAUAAGGCUGAAGUAAAGGUGCGCUGGUUGCCUUGUUCUCAGUGUGGCAAAGCCUGGGAGGACACAUGGGAGCCAGCCAGCCAGUUCACUUCCUGAGCUUAGCACAGGGCUCCUACAGCAGUGACCUGCAGUUCAAAAGAAUAUUUCACACACACGCACGUGCACACACACACACACACACACACACACACACACACACACACACACACACACACACACACACACACACUGCUGAUGUUAUAUGUGUGUUCAUACUAUGUCUGAUUGCUGUACAUUUCUUUCUUAUUUGUUGUUUGCAUUUACUGUCUUUCAAAUGGCAUUAAAUAUGUCUCCAUCUCUUUGUUGGACUUGUGCAGUAAAGUUAAGUUAUUUUAUUUCUGAUUAUAGUUUAUUACUGUUUAUUACUUCUUGAAAAAAAUGGCUAUUCUCUCUGUUGUAUAACUCUGUGUUUAGUUAACAUAUCAAUGAAUAGUGUCCAUAUGGGUGUCAGAGGGGAUGGAAUAUGGAUGUUUGGACAAGUCCCCAUGCAUAAUUACAGCUUGGAGCAAAUAUGGCCAAAACAUAUAGUAGACUAAUUCCUUAUCACAGAGACCGACCCAAUGGCUUGAUGUUAACAUUGUCAAUUUGUCUGUCUGUCUUUCAUUUUUUCUCUUUGUCUGUCUCUUUUUCCAGCUGAAGCUCCACUGUUGUACUGUACUGUAAGGAAAUGAGUCUGCCUGUGCAGGAAAUUGCUGCACUCUAGUCUGGACCAACAUGCAGCAGUGAGCAGGGAACACCAGCUUUGCAGCAUAAAGGCAAGCAAUGUUUCCAGGUCUGGCAACACGGCAGCAAUCAACGCACCCUAGCUUGGCAGUGCAGCGGGGAGGGACACACCCUAGACUGGCAAUAUUACAAACAGAGGAAAAGACAAUGAAGAGGAGGCUCGUUGUCAUAGCAGUCCAAAUGCAGUCCUAGUGUACCAAGCAUAGACCCAACCAACUUCUCCAGAACUGUCUGCCAGUGAACACUGGUCUGGCUAACAUCCUCAGAGGGCCAUUGGUCCUGGGUCUGUAUAGCGACAUCAUGAAUGUUGGAGGUCUCAGGAAGCCAACAUUUAGAGAGGAUGCGUGUUGCGCUGAAAAAACUAUACUGCUGUAGCUUGCACUGAAGGUUCCAUAUCUGAAAGCUGUGCUACAUUAAGCAUUUAUCAUUAUUGUUAUAAACAGAUUGUAACCGGAUUCAAUGAUAAAAUAAUUUAGUUUUUAUACUUAACUUAUAUUUAUUUACCACACCUGGACCUUAUUUAUGUUCAUUCUCAUCUUUCUUAUCUCAGGAAAGUCAAGGCUCUAGCUAAAAUGCGCAACGGAGUUUAAUUUAUUAGGGAAUUUCUAUCUAGUAAUGGAAUGGAUUUGACUGACAUCGCUCUAACAAGUUAGAGAAAAAGUAAGUGGGUCCAAAAUCCACUAUCAUCAGAGGUGGCAAAAGUACACACAUCUAUUACUUAAGUAGAAGUACAGAUACUCAUGUUUUGAAAUACUGGGGUAAAAG